rnacentral:lncRNA from 1 species
UCAAACAACAGAUCCGGUACAAUACACGUAAUAAUUAUUACUUUAAACAGGAUUGUUUUCAUAUGAGCAACAUAACUUAUGCAAAUAAUUUCGCAUAGAGAUACAUGUAACUAAAUACUUAGAAGCAAGGUGUGUGUUGGUAUUUCUUAACAAAAUAUGCUAAAAUAAAUUUGCAAUACAACGUUGUCGUUUUGUAAUCGAUGAGCGCAACAGCACAUGCAGUUUGUUUUCUAAGGUACAUGUUGCUAAGUGAACACACUACCUGUACUUAUCGAUUUUGAGUUCAAAGUAUGGUUUUGUUGGCAGGGCGGUAUUCUCUUGUCAAUGUUUUGUUGGCAGGGCGGUAUUCUCUUGUCAAUUUUUUGUUGGCAGGGCGGUAUUCUCUUGUCAAUGUUUUGUUGGUAGGGCGUAUUCUCUUGUCAAUGUUUUGUUGGCAGGACGGUAUUCUCUUGUCAAUGUUUUGGUGGCAGGGCGGUAUUCUCUUGUCCAUGUUUUGUUGGCAGGGCGGUAUUCUCUUUUCAAUGUUUUGUUGGCAGGGCGGUAUUCUCUUGUUAAUGUUUUGUUGGCAGGGCGGUAUUAUCUUGUCAAUGUUUUGUUGGCAGGGCGGUAUUCUCUUGUUAAUGUUUUGUUGGCAGGGCGGUAUUAUCUUGUCAAUGUUUUGUUGGCAGGGCGGUAUUCUCUUGUCAAUGUUUUGUUGGCAGGGCGGUAUUCUCUUGUCAAAUGUUUGCAUCAACACUGCAAUAUAUUUGUUUCUUAUAAAUCUAUUUUAACAUAUUAUCAUAUUACGUCUCUAUACUACUUUUGCAGUUAAUUAUAAUACUUUUAAAUGUGUUCUGAUAUAUGUUAUAGGUUUAGUGUUGUCAAGUGUUCGCAUACCAAAUAGUUAUAGCAUGAUAUAUAUGUAGCGUUUUUACUGUUACAGUGGUACAUACUUGUUGCUUAUAAUGUUUGCGUUCUGAUCGCGGUUGGGAAAUGUUCGCGUUAGAAAUGGUUCAGAAAUUGAUUUCGUCAAAUUAGUUCACUGAAUAGGUAAAACAAUGGUUAAAAAGCCCUUCUUCAAACUUGGUGAUAGUCGCUUAGAGUCACAGCUAUUUCACUGGUAAAAGACAAUCAUUUGGUGGAUUUCGUCAAAACUGAAUGCUAAAUAGUAUCAGAUGUUGUUGUUUAGCACAGACUUUGGGGCCAGUAAUGGUUGCUCGUUGGUCGCAUUAUACAGAUGGUCGUUUAAUGCAGUUAAAUUACAUAAUAAAAGCUUUCGAGAGGAAUAAAAUGUGGCCGCAUAAAGCAAAUGGUCGUUUAAUACAGGUGGUCGCUUAAGCAAAUACGACUGUACACAUGUCCUAUAUAUCUACAAUUGAUGAAGAAAUAUUUCCAUGUUGAUUUAAAUCUAAUCGCUCUAAAUUUCUCAUCGCGAAAACGCGAACAUUUUUUUACUGCGAAAAUAUUUGUUUUUACAGUAUCCGGUAAGAAUACAAAUAACUGUCAUAGAUAGUAUGUCUGGUGUUGUAAUAAAUGCGGAUAUGAAUCAAACAUCAAUUACAUAUACUAUCAUUUCUACUCAAAUGGAACUGAAUGCAACUACCAAAUGUAACCUGUUUCAUUUGCUCAUGAAAUUGACCAGAUUAACUUUGCCUGUGCGUAUGAAUAUGCAUCAGAAAGGUUUAUAUGUAAACUAAUGAAUUCACGAACAAAAAAUAAAUAUGACACUUUAAAUAUGUUUUUGUGUUUUGUUUCUUCGUAAUUUGGUUGUAUUGAACUAUCAGCGUACACAAUCAUGUUGUAUGAUAGUCCUUCAAUGGCGGAUUAUAUAUUUCUUACUUUACGUCAAUACGUAGAAUUGCAAAAGCUCCAGAAUAUUUUAAAAAUUAUCAGAAUUGACUUUCACAAGUUCCAAUUAUUGGAAAUGCACACGUUGAUUGAAAUAUAAGUAUUACAUCUUGCUUCGGUCGAUUUCAUGGGGGUGAUGAAUUGAGUUGGUCCUAAAACAUUUUGCAGUUUAUGGUUGAGUUUGUUUCAAGACCAACUCAAUCCAUCACCUCAUGAAAUCGAUUAAAGCAAUAUUCAACUCUCAAAUGAUACAGUUGUAUGUCAAGCGUUUCCAUCCACAAGGUAUUCAGAGAAAAAUCAAACGCCAGUUUUAGGUAGUAACAUUUAUUGGACCAACAUAUGGAUCAAGCGUUUGUGGGAAUGAGACGGAGAUAAAUUAAGUAACAUGAGUCGAUUGCCUGACGUAAA